UCGGGAAUUUUGGGCAAUGGGCGAAAGCCUGACCCAGCAACGCCGCGUGAGGGAUGAAGUAUUUCGGUAUGUAAACCUCGAAAGAAUGGGAAGAAUAAAUGACGGUACCAUCUAUAAGCUCCGGCUAACUACGUGCCAGCAGCCGCGGUAAUACGUAGGGAGCAAGCGUUGUUCGGAUUUACUGGGCGUAAAGGGCGCGUAGGCGGCGCGGUAAGUCACUUGUGAAAUCUCUGAGCUUAACUCAGAACGGCCAAGUGAUACUGCUGUGCUAGAGUGCGGAAGAGGCAACCGGAAUUCUUGGUGUAGCGGUGAAAUGCGUAGAUAUCAAGAGGAACACCUGAGGCGAAGGCGGGUUGCUGGGCUGACACUGACGCUGAUGCGCGAAAGCCAGGGGAGCAAACG
rnacentral:rRNA from 1 species